rnacentral:rRNA from 1 species
AUUGAACGCUGGCGGCAGGCCUAACACAUGCAAGUCGAGCGGAUGAAGAGAGCUUGCUCUCUGAUUCAGCGGCGGACGGGUGAGUAAUGCCUAGGAAUCUGCCUGGUAGUGGGGGACAACGUUUCGAAAGGAACGCUAAUACCGCAUACGUCCUACGGGAGAAAGCAGGGGACCUUCGGGCCUUGCGCUAUCAGAUGAGCCUAGGUCGGAUUAGCUAGUUGGUGAGGUAAUGGCUCACCAAGGCAACGAUCCGUAACUGGUCUGAGAGGAUGAUCAGUCACACUGGAACUGAGACACGGUCCAGACUCCUACGGGAGGCAGCAGUGGGGAAUAUUGGACAAUGGGCGAAAGCCCGAUCCAGCCAUGCCGCGUGUGUGAAGAAGGUCUUCGGAUUGUAAAGCACUUUAAGUUGGAAGGAAGGGCAGUAAGUUAAUACCUUGCUGUUUUGACGUUACCGACAGAAUAAGCACCGGCUAACUCUGUGCCAGCCGCCGCCGUAACAC